AAAACACAGAUGGAUGAAAACAUUGCUGAUCCUGAAGAUGGUGUUUCCUACGUCUCCAUCAGCUUCACCAAGAAGACCAACAGUAAAGCCCGGGUUGGUGGUGAUGGUGAUGAUGAAGGUGUUGCAGUGACCUACAGCACUGUGAAAGCCUCCUCCUCUUCUGCUGGAGCCUCCACUGAUCCCAGAAACCUCUACGCUACCAUCAACAAACCCCACAAAUAACAGACCACAGUGUUCAUAUCAUUAUAUUUAAUUUAUAACUGAUAAGUUGAAGCUUUCUGAUGAGAAAAUCAGUUUUUAUUCCCAGAAUCUCAGCCAAUUACCCUUUACUUCAUAAUAGAGACUGUAUCUCUGUGGGGAUUUUGUCUAUACUGUCCAAACCUUAUAGAGAUUUUAUACUCAUAAUCAGUUAUUUUUUUUCAGUAUAUUAAUGAUUCACUGUUGGAUAUGACUGUAACAUUUUUUCUCUUCUAUGUUGUAUUUCUGUAAAUAGUCUUUUGUCCAGAAAGGGAUGUAAUAAGUUCUGAUAUCCUUAAUGAACUCACUAUCAGCCGCUUUAUUGAGCUCAUUGAUGUUUGUGCUAGUGUUGAAAGUUAAAAUCUUAAUUCUCACUGCUAUUUUUUUUCUUAUUAUUAUUUUUUUCUCUUUAACCAUUUAUCUGAUAUUGUUUAGAGUGUUAUAAUUUAUGUCUCUGUUCAGUUUAUCUUGUUGUAGUAAGACAAUGUUGU